AUAAGAAGAACAAAGGCUAAAUACGCAGCGUCGUGUUGCAAAUGCCUUUGUGAUCUGCAUCAUGCAGC
rnacentral:sRNA from 1 species